rnacentral:rRNA from 1 species
UUCAGCAGGGAAGAAGCGCAAGUGACGGUACCUGCAGAAGAAGCGCCGGCUAACUACGUGCCAGCAGCCGCGGUAAUACGUAGGGCGCGAGCGUUGUCCGGAAUUAUUGGGCGUAAAGAGCUCGUAGGCGGCCUGUCGCGUCAAUUGUGAAAGCCCGGGGCUCAACCCCGGGUCUGCAGUCGAUACGGGCAGGCUAGAGUUCGGUAGGGGAGAUCGGAAUUCCUGGUGUAGCGGUGAAAUGCGCAGAUAUCAGGAGGAACACCGGUGGCGAAGGCGGAUCUCUGGGCCGACACUGACGCUGAGGAGCGAAAGCGUGGGGAGCGAACAGGAUUAGAUACCCUGGUAGUCCACGCCGUAAACGGUGGGCACUAGGUGUGGGCGACAUUCCACGUCGUCCGCGCCGCAGCUAACGCAUUAAGUGCCCCGCCUGGGGAGUACGGCCGCAAGGCUAAAACUCAAAGGAAUUGACGGGGGCCCGCACAAGCAGCGGAGCAUGUGGCUUAAUUCGACGCAACGCGAAGAACCUUACCAAGGCUUGACAUACACCGGAAACACCUGGAGACAGGUGCCCCCUUGUG